rnacentral:rRNA from 1 species
UACGGAGGGUGCAAGCGUUGUUCGGAAUUAUUGGGCGUAAAGCGCGUGUAGGCGGUCAUGUAAGUCAGAUGUGAAAGCCUUCCGCUUAACGGGAGAAGUGCAUUUGAGACUACAUGACUGGAGUACGGGAGAGGAGAGUGGAAUUCCCGGUGUAGAGGUGAAAUUCGUAGAUAUCGGGAGGAACACCAGUGGCGAAGGCGGCUCUCUGGCCUGAUACUGACGCUGAGACGCGAAAGCGUGGGGAGCAAACAGG